AUUGAACGCUGGCGGCAGGCCUAACACAUGCAAGUCGAACGAGUGGCGGACGGGUGAGUAAUGUCUGGGAAACUGCCCGAUGGAGGGGGAUAACUACUGGAAAGGGUAGCUAAUACCGCAUACCAUCGGAUGUGCCCAGAGGGGAUGGGCUUGUAGGUGGGGUAACGGCUCACCUAGGCGACGAUCCCUAGCUGGUCUGAGAGGAUGACCAGCAACCCGGGAACUUGGAACCGGUCCAGACUCCUACGGGAGGCAGCAGGGGGGAAUAGUGGACAAUGGGCGAAAGCCUGAUGCAGCCAUGCCGCGUGUAGGAAGAAGGCCGUAGGGUUGUAAAGUACUUUCAUCUAGGACGCGUUACGCGCAGAAGAAGCACCGGCUAACUCCGUGCCAGCAGCCGCGGUAAUUC
rnacentral:rRNA from 1 species